rnacentral:rRNA from 1 species
GGCGCGGGCGCGUUGGGAUCCCCCCUCGUAGUAGGUCAGCGCAGGAGUGACGCAUCAGGGCAGCCGGCCGCGGAGGUGGUUUUCCGUGGUCAAGCGUUCGAGCCCGUCCCGCAGGCAAAUCCGCGGGGCGUCGGGGUGAGGCGUGAUGAUGGGGGCCUUACGGCCCGAAUCCGGUGAUCCGUGGUGCCGAGGAAAGCUUCGGCGUCAGGCGCGUUGCCGCCCGUACCCCAAACCGACACUGGUGGUCAGGUAGAGAAUACCAAAGCGAUCGAGCGAAUCCUGGUCAAGGAACUCGGCAAAUUGCUCCCGUGCCUUCGGCAUAAGGGAGACCCCCUGCGGUGAUGAGCGGCGGGGGGUGGCACAGGCCAGGGGGUAGCGACUGUUUACCAAAAACACAGGAGCGUGCGAAGGCGCAAGCCGCUGUAUACGCUCUGACGCCUGCCCGGUGCCGGAAGGUUAAGAGGAUCCGUCAGCUUCUGCGAAGCGGUGAAUUCAAGCCCCGGUAAACGGCGGUGUAACAAUAACCAUCCUAAGGUAGCGAAAUUCCUUGUCGGGUAAGUUCCGACCUGCACGAAUGGCGUAACGACUUCCCCACUGUCUCGACCAGGAGCUCGGCGAAAUUGCAGUACGAGUAAAGAUGCUCGUUAAGCGCAGAAGGACGAAAAGACCCCGGGACCUUUACUAUACCUUGGUAUUGGCAUUAGGCGCGGAUUGUGUAGCAUAGGCGGGAGGCUUCGAGGCGGGUGCGCCAGCAUCCGCGGAGCCGCAAGGUGAAAUACCGCUCUGUUCUCGUUUGAUGUCUAACCUCGAACAGUCAUCCUGUUCAGGGACAGUGCCUGGCGGGUAGUUCAACUGGGGCGGUUGCCUCCCAAAGAGUAACGGAGGCGCUCAAAGGUCCGCUCGGCCCGGUUGGCAAUCGGGUGUCGAGUGUAAUCGCACAAGCGGGCUUGACUGCGAGAUCGACGGAUCGAGCAGGGACGAAAGUCGGAGAUAGUGAUCCGGUGCCGGCGCACGGGCGCGGCAUCGCUCAACGGAUAAAAGGUACCCCGGGGAUAACAGGCUGAUCAUUCCCAAGAGUCCAUAUCGACGGGAUGGUUUGGCACCUCGAUGUCGGCUCGUCGCAUCCUGGGGCUGGAGCAGGUCCCAAGGGUUCGGCUGUUCGCCGAUCAAAGCGGCACGCGAGCUGGGUUCAGAACGUCGUGAGACAGUUUGGUCUCUAUCCUCUGCGCUCGUUGGAAUCUUGAGGAGGCCUGCCCAUAGUACGAGAGGACCUGGGUGGACGAACCUCUGGUACGCCGGUCGUCACGCCAGUGGCGCGGCCGGUUGGCUACGUUCGGAAGGGAUAACCGCUGAAAGCAUCUAAGCGGGAAGCCUUCUCCAAGAUAAGGAUUCCAUGCGGCCCCGAGCCGCUGAAGACCCCAUGCAGAACACGUGGUCGAUAGGCCGGACGUGGAAGCCCCGCGAGGGGUGGAGCCGACCGGUACUAAUGGUCGAGAGGCGAA